rnacentral:tRNA from 1 species
GAAGGUAUAGCUCAAGUGGUAGAGUGCAUGUGUGCUUGAGGUCCUGGGUUCAAUCCCCAGUUACCUUCU